rnacentral:lncRNA from 1 species
AGUGACAAUGAAGACUGAGGUGUCUGCUUUGCAGUUUUUUUUUUUCUUUUCUUGUCUUUUUUUUUUUUUUUCCUAAUCAUGUGGACAUCUCUGAGAAUGAGGGGACUGGGUGACUUUGCAGUGUCUGCUUUCUAAGUUUCAAAGUGACUUUCCAGGCAAGCUGCGCAUAUCUUGGGAUCUUCACAGCACAGUGGCUGGGAAGGCAGGCGGACCCGUCUAUCAGCUUCUCCCUGGUGGGAUUCUUGCGGGGGCAGGGAUCGAGUCAAACCUUGGAAAUGACGUCAUUCUGAACUCAUCUGCCUUUAUCCAGAAGACUACCAAAGCAAACCAGAGGACCAGAGAACAGCAGCUGCUCUGGACAAAGAGGGGAGGACACCCACACCCACAUACCAAGUUCUGGUUGACUUCUACAGCAGAAGAAGCAGGAGACACAAGAAGGAUUCAUAGUUGUCCUGCCAAAAAGAAUCUCUGACUCCAAGGAUGUUUUCUCAAGGGAUUCCCGCCCGCACUGCCAGUUACCAUCAGCAGGACUCCUGACUGCCUGACUCCACUCCAUUUCUCAUGGAAGCCAGAAGACUCAGAGGGACUGAAAUAUAAGAAGAUCGAUGCCAGAUGUUGUUGUGAUGACAACCUGUUGGGUUGAAGGACCCCAGGAAGACACAGUCCAGAUUCACAGGGACAGAGCCACUCACCUAUUGUCACAUGCAGCACAGAAUAAUGCAGAGGCAUGGCAUCAUAACAAUUCCUGAAUGGUGCUUCUCAGAAGAUGGUACUUCUUGGGGUCUGGUACCUGGACUAGUGAGGCUUCUCAGGGGAUGGGACCCCAACCCAGAAUGACAACAUCACCUGAUAACUUCAUCUUCAUCAUUAUCAUCAUCAUCAUCAUUGUUGUUAUUCCUUUUGUUUUGUUUUGAGAUUGUAAUAAAAUUAUAUCAUUUCUCCAUU